rnacentral:tRNA from 1 species
CAGAGAAUAGUUUAAUAUAAAAUAGUAAUUUUGGAGAUUAUUGAUGAGUUAUUUCUUCUCUGA